rnacentral:rRNA from 1 species
AUGUCUACGUCAGAGGGUUCGGAGACUGCUGAUUCCAUGGAUGAGGAUACGAGUCAAAUACCACACGUUAGAAGGUCCAAGGUAUGGGAGCAUUAUGAAGUAGAUUUGGUUCUCGUAGAUGGUGAUUUCAAGGCUGUGUGCAAAUACUGUGGAGCGCAACUUCACACCAAGUUUGGGACUAGCAGUUUGAGGACCCAUAUUGCAGAGGCUUGCCGAUCAAUCCAAGAUGCUUGCAGACAGAGGUUUUUGUUGACCAUGAAAAAAAAACCAUCCGAAGGACUGUUUGUGUUUGAUGAAAAAGUUUGUCGUGAACGCAUGGUCAAGUAUUGCGUCCAUGCUGAGAUCCCCUUUCUUAAGUUUGAAGAUCCCCACCUUCAACCAUGGGUUGACUCAAUGCAGCCAGCGUUUCAAAUCAAGGGUCGUCACACAAUUCGUGAUGAUGCAGUGAAGAUCUAUAAGGGAAUGAAGAAAUAUAUCGAAGUAGAGCUACAAAAUUUGGAUUCUCGCAUUUGCUUAACAUCUGACAUGUGGACAUCAUCACAGGACUUGGGCUACAUGUGCAUCACCGCCCAUUAUAUCAAUGCAGAAUUCAUCUACAAGAAGAAGACCAUAAGUUUCGCAGAAGUGAAGUAUCCCCACACAGGCUAUGCGAUAGAGGAAGAAAUAGUUCGUUGCUUAACAGAAUGGGGCAUAAGAGGCAAAUUAUUCACUUUGACACUAGAUAAUGCCAGCAAUAAUACUAAUGCAUGUGAGGAGUUAAUAAAAUAUCACAAACAUGAGCUACUCCUUGAAGGUCAACAUUUGCAUGUCAGGUGUUGUGCGCACAUUCUUAAUAUCUUGGUUCAGGAUGGAAUGAAAAUAAUCCAUGAAGCUAUUGACAUGAUACGUGAGCUGAUUAAGUAUAUUGACUCUUCUCCUUCAAGACUUCAAGAUUUCAAUACAAUUGCAAGUGGGAUGGGUCUACGUGCAAAGAAAGGCAUCUCUGUUGAUACACCAACUAGAUGGAACUCAACCUGGAAAAUGCUUGUAGAA